rnacentral:rRNA from 1 species
GAGCGGCUCUGUCUUCGGGACAAGUUAGCGGCGGACGGGUGAGUAUCACGUAUGCACCUGCCGAUAAGACUGGGAUAUCCUCCGUGAAACGGAAUCUAAGACCGGAUACGUUGAUUUCUCGCAUGAGGGAUCAUGGAAAGACGGAUCAAUCUGUCACUUAUCGAUGGGCCUGCGGCGCAUUAGCUAGUAGGUGGGGUAAUGGCUCACCUAGGCGACGAUGCGUAUCCGACCUGAGAUGGUGAACGGCCUCUCUGGGACUGAUACACGGCCCAUACUCCUACGGGAUGCAGCAGUAUGGAAUCUUCGGCAAUGGACGAAUGUCUGACCGAGCAUCUCCGCGUGAGUGAAGAAUGGUUUCGGCUCGUAAAACUCUGUUGCCAAUGAAGAACGCUGAGUAGAGUAUCUGCUACUCAUGUGACGGUACUUGAGAAGAAAGCCCCGGCUAACUACGUGCCAGCAGCCGCGGUAAU